UACGUAGGGUGCGAGCGUUGUCCGGAAUUAUUGGGCGUAAAGGGCUCGUAGGCGGUUUGUCGCGUCGGGAGUGAAAACACCGGGCUUAACUCGGUGCUUGCUUUCGAUACGGGCAGACUAGAGGUAUGCAGGGGAGAACGGAAUUCCUGGUGUAGCGGUGAAAUGCGCAGAUAUCAGGAGGAACACCGAUGGCGAAGGCAGGUCUCUGGGCAUUAACUGACGCUGAGGAGCGAAAGCAUGGGGAGCGAACAGG
rnacentral:rRNA from 1 species